rnacentral:lncRNA from 1 species
AUAUAACCAAAGAGUUAUUAUUAUUUAUAAACGUAAUUUCCAUUUAAAUUCCAUUAUGUUUAAUUCCUAUCUACAGAGUAAAAUAUUUUAAAUAUGUUUAUUGUAAUAAACUGUUAUAAUAUAGAAGGCAAUUCUAUGUUAGGAAUACUAUAUUGUAAAAGAAUUGUAAUGUUGUACAACCAGUGGCAUACCCAAAAGGGAGCAAGAAGAGUGGUCCACUUGGGCACCAAGCUGAAUGGGGCCAAGAGCAUGGAAUAUAUAAUAUCAUUACUAUUCAUCAGAUAUUUAUAUAAAAAUUUCUGUAUCAUUUUCAGUUCUU